rnacentral:lncRNA from 1 species
GUCAAGCUAAUGACGUUAAUCAAGCGCUUCUUGGGAGGCAACCCAUGAUAGGUAACUCGGUCUUUAAUUUUCUUUUAAUUUCUGCAUUUUAUUAAGUAAUAAAACCAUUGUUGAAUGAAUUUGUCACUACUCUAUCCUUAUCUGUUUGAGUUAAAAUUUUAUGUGUGACUUGAUUUUGAGCAUUUAACUAGAAUGUGCUUGUUAGUUUGUUCUCCAUCUAAGUAGUAACUGUCAACUUACAUUAUUGAUUGCUAUUUGGUUAUAUUAGUUUGCUGAUGAUUUUUGAGG